UACGUAGGGUGCAAGCGUUAUUCGGAAUUACUGGGCGUAAAGCGUGCGCAGGCGGUUUUGUAAGUCUGAUGUGAAAUUCCGGGGCUCAACCUGGGAAUUGCCGUGGAGACUGCCAGGCUAGAAUCUGGCAGAGGGGGGUAGAAUUCCACGUGUAGCAGUGAAAUGCGUAGAGAUGUGGAGGAACACCGAUGGCGAAGGCAGCCCCCUGGGUCAAGAUUGACGCUCAUGCACGAAAGCGUGGGGAGCAAACAGG
rnacentral:rRNA from 1 species